rnacentral:rRNA from 1 species
GUAGUCAUAUGCUUGUCUCAAAGAUUAAGCCAUGCAUGUCUAAGUAUAAGCACUUUAUACUGUGAAACUGCGAAUGGCUCAUUAAAUCAGUUAUCGUUUAUUUGAUAGUACCUUACUACAUGGAUACCUGUGGUAAUUCUAGAGCUAAUACAUGCUAAAAACCCCGACUUCGGAAGGGGUGUAUUUAUUAGAUAAAAAACCAAUGCCCUUCGGGGCUCCUUGGUGAUUCAUAAUAACUUAACGAAUCGCAUGGCCUUGCGCCGGCGAUGGUUCAUUCAAAUUUCUGCCCUAUCAACUUUCGAUGGUAGGAUAGUGGCCUACCAUGGUGGCAACGGGUAACGGGGAAU